rnacentral:rRNA from 1 species
AGACCCGAAACCCGGUGAUCUAGCCAUGGGCAGGUUGAAGGUUGGGUAACACUAACUGGAGGACCGAACCGACUAAUGUUGAAAAAUUAGCGGAUGACCUGUGGCUGGGGGUGAAAGGCCAAUCAAACCGGGAGAUAGCUGGUUCUCCCCGAAAGCUAUUUAGGUAGCGCCUCGUGAAUUCAUCUCCGGGGGUAGAGCACUGUUUCGGCCAGGGGGCCAUCCCGGCUUACCAAUCCGAUGCAAACUGCGAAUACCGGAGAAUGUUAUCACGGGAGACACACGGCGGGUGCUAACGUCCGUCGUGAAGAGGGAAACAACCCAGACCGCCAGCUAAGGUCCCAAAGUCAUGGUUAAGUGGGAAACGAUGUGGGAAGGCCCAGACAGCCAGGAUGUUGGCUUAGAAGCAGCCAUCAUUUAAAGAAAGCGUAAUAGCUCACUGGUCGAGUCGGCCUGCGCGGAAGAUGUAACGGGGCUAAACCAUGCACCGAAGCUGCGGCAGCGACACUGAUGUGUUGUUGGGUAGGGGAGCGUUCUGUAAGCCGUUGAAGGUGGCCUGUGAGGGUUGCUGGAGGUAUCAGAAGUGCGAAUGCUGACAUAAGUAACGAUAAAGCGGGUGAAAAGCCCGCUCGCCGGAAGACCAAGGGUUCCUGUCCAACGUUAAUCGGGGCAGGGUGAGUCGACCCCUAAGGCGAGGCCGAAAGGCGUAGUCGAUGGGAAACGGGUUAAUAUUCCCGUACUUGGUGUUACUGCGAAGGGGGGACGGAGAAGGCUAUGUUGGCCGGGCGACGGUUGUCCCGGUUUAAGCGUGUAGGUGUGUGUUCCAGGUAAAUCCGGUUCACUUUAACACUGAGGCGUGAUGACGAGGCACUACGGUGCUGAAGCAACAAAUGCCCUGCUUCCAGGAAAAGCCUCUAAGCCUCAGGUAACAUCAAAUCGUACCCCAAACCGACACAGGUGGUCAGGUAGAGAAUACCAAGGCGCUUGAGAGAACUCGGGUGAAGGAACUAGGCAAAAUGGUGCCGUAACUUCGGGAGAAGGCACGCUGACACGUAGGUGAAGUGGUUUACCCAUGGAGCUGAAGUCAGUCGAAGAUACCAGCUGGCUGCAACUGUUUAUUAAAAACACAGCACUGUGCAAACACGAAAGUGGACGUAUACGGUGUGACGCCUGCCCGGUGCCGGAAGGUUAAUUGAUGGGGUCAGCGCAAGCGAAGCUCCUGAUCGAAGCCCCGGUAAACGGCGGCCGUAACUAUAACGGUCCUAAGGUAGCGAAAUUCCUUGUCGGGUAAGUUCCGACCUGCACGAAUGGCGUAAUGAUGGCCAGGCUGUCUCCACCCGGGACUCAGUGAAAUUGAACUCGCUGUGAAGAUGCAGUGUACCCGCGGCAAGACGGAAAGACCCCGUGAACCUUUACUAUAGCUUGACACUGAACACUGGUCCUUGAUGUGCAGGAUAGGUGGGAGGCUUUGAAGUGUGGACGCCAGUCUGCAUGGAGCCAUCCUUGAAAUACCACCCUUUAAUGGCUGGUGUUCUAACGUGGGCCCCUGACCGGGGUUGCGGACAGUGUCUGGUGGGUAGUUUGACUGGGGCGGUCUCCUCCUAAAGAGUAACGGAGGAGCACGAAGGUUGGCUAAUCCUGGUCGGACAUCAGGAGGUUAGUGCAAUGGCAUAAGCCAGCUUGACUGCGAGCGUGACGGCGCGAGCAGGUGCGAAAGCAGGUCAUAGUGAUCCGGUGGUUCUGAAUGGAAGGGCCAUCGCUCAACGGAUAAAAGGUACUCCGGGGAUAACAGGCUGAUACCGCCCAAGAGUUCAUAUCGACGGCGGUGUUUGGCACCUCGAUGUCGGCUCAUCACAUCCUGGGGCUGAAGUAGGUCCCAAGGGUAUGGCUGUUCGCCAUUUAAAGUGGUACGCGAGCUGGGUUUAGAACGUCGUGAGACAGUUCGGUCCCUAUCUGCCGUGGGCGCUGGAAGAUUGAGGGGGGCUGCUCCUAGUACGAGAGGACCGGAGUGGACGCAUCACUGGUGUUCGGGUUGUCAUGCCAAUGGCACUGCCCGGUAGCUACAUGCGGAAGAGAUAAGUGCUGAAAGCAUCUAAGCACGAAACUUGCCCCGAGAUGAAUCUUCCCUGAGCCUUUAAGGCUCCUGAAGGAACGUUGAAGACGACGACGUUGAUAGGCCGGGUGUGUAAGCGCAGCGAUGCGUUGAGCUAACCGGUACUAAUGAACCGUGAGGCUUAACCUU